AUCCAAAUGAUGAGUCCAAAACAGGAGGAAACGCGCGUCCUGGAU
rnacentral:hammerhead_ribozyme from 1 species